rnacentral:rRNA from 1 species
UACGGAGGGGGCUAGCGUUGUUCGGAAAUACUGGGCGUAAAGCGCACGUAGGCGGCUCAGCAAGUCAGGGGUGAAAUCCCGGGGCUCAACCCCGGAACUGCCCUUGAAACUGCUAGGCUAGAAUCUUGGAGAGGCGAGUGGAAUUCCGAGUGUAGAGGUGAAAUUCGUAGAUAUUCGGAAGAACACCAGUGGCGAAGGCGACUCGCUGGACAAGUAUUGACGCUGAGGUGCGAAAGCGUGGGGAGCAAACAGG